rnacentral:rRNA from 1 species
GGAGGGGGCUAGCGUUGCNCGGAAUCACNGGGCGUAAAGGGUGCGUAGGCGGGUCUUUAAGNCAGGGGUGAAAUCCUGGAGCUCAACNCCAGAACUGCCUUUGAUACUGAAGAUCUUGAGUUCGGGAGAGGUGAGUGGAACUGCGAGUGUAGAGGUGAAAUUCGUAGAUAUUCGCAAGAACACCAGUGGCGAAGGCGGCUCACUGGCCCGAUACUGACGCUGAGGCACGAAAGCGUGGGGAGCAAACAGGAUUAGAUACCCUGGUAGUCCACGCCGUAAACGGUGGGCGCUAGGUGUGGGUUCCUCCCACGGAAUCCGUGCCGUAGCUAACGCAUUAAGCGCCCCGCCUGGGGAGU